rnacentral:misc_RNA from 1 species
UAACACCCAAACAAUCUGAUGAUUGUGUGUUGUAAGGUGAAGUCGACGAACCGAAAGUUCGCAUGAACCGCAAACACCUUGAAAUCACAUACCUGAAUCCGGAUAGACGUAAGCCCAAGCGAACGGAUAUCCAA